rnacentral:rRNA from 1 species
AUUGAACGCUGGCGGCAGGCCUAACACAUGCAAGUCGAACGAGUGGCGGACGGGUGAGUAAUGUCUGGGAAACUGCCCGCUGGAGGGGGAUAACUACUGGAAACGGUAGCUAAUACCGCAUACCAUCGGAUGUGCCCAGGUGGGCUUAGCUAGUAGGUGGGGUAACGGCUCACCGAGGCGACGAGCCCUAGCUGGUCUGAGAGGAUGACCAGCCGACCGGGAACUGAGAGACGGGCCAGACUCCUACGCGAGGCAGCAGUGGGGAAUAUGGCACAAUAGGCGCAAGCCUGAUAGAGCCAUGCAGCGUGUAUGAAGAAGGCCUGCUGGUUUUAAAGUACUUUCAGCGAGGAGGCGUUACUCGCAGAAGAAGCACCGGCUAACUCCGUGCCAGCAGCCGCGGUAAUAC